UGCAUUAGUAGCGGCGAGUGAGCGGCAAUAGCUCAAAUUUGAAAUCUGGCGCCUUCGGUGUCGAGUAGUAAUUUGAAGAAGGUAUCUUUGGUUUUGGCUCUUGUCUAUGUUCCUUGGAACAGGACGUCACAGAGGGUGAGAAUCCCGUGCGAUGAGAUGCCCAAUUCCAUGUAAAGUUCCUUCGACGAGUCGAGUUGUUUGGGAAUGCAGCUCUAAGUGGGUGGUAAAUUCCAUCUAAAGCUAAAUAUUGGCGAGAGACCGAUAGCGAACAAGUACUGUGAAGGAAAGAUGAAAAGAACUUUGAAAAGAGAGUGAAAAAGUACGUGAAAUUGUUGAAAGGGAAGGGCUUGAGAUUAGACUUGGAAUUUUCCAUUUUUGGAGCUUUCCGGGCCAGCAUCAGUUUGGAUGGCAGGAUAAUUGCGUUGGAAAGUAACACUACUUCGGUGGUGUAUUAUAGACUUCGUCGAUACUGCCUAUCUAGACUGAGGACCGCGUCUUUGACUAGGAUGCUGGCGUAAUGAUCUUAAGCCG
rnacentral:rRNA from 1 species